UACGUAGGAGGCAAGCGUUGUCCGGAAUUACUGGGCGUAAAGAGCGUGUAGGCGGCCAGACAGGUCAGCUGUGAAAACUCGAGGCUCAACCUCGAGACGUCGGUUGAAACCGUCUGGCUAGAGUCCGGAAGAGGAGAGUGGAAUUCCCGGUGUAGCGGUGAAAUGCGCAGAUAUCGGGAAGAACACCCGUGGCGAAGGCGGCUCUCUGGGACGGUACUGACGCUGAGACGCGAAAGCGUGGGGAGCGAACAGG
rnacentral:rRNA from 1 species